GGUGCUGCAUGGCUGUCGUCAGCUCGUGUCGUGAGAUGUUGGGUUAAGUCCCGCAACGAGCGCAACCCUUGUCUUUAAUUGCCAUCAUUUAGUUGGGCACUUUAAAGAGACUGCCGGUGUUAAGCCGGAGGAAGGUGGGGAUGACGUCAAGUCCUCAUGGCCUUUAUGCCCAGGGCUACACACGUGCUACAAUGGGCGGUACAAAGAGAAGCAACCUCGCGAGGGUGAGCAAAUCUCAAAAAGCCGAUCUCAGUUCGGAUUGCAGGCUGCAAUUCGCCUGCAUGAAGUCGGAAUCGCUAGUAAUCGCAGGUCAGCAUACUGCGGUGAAUACGUUCCCGGGCCUU
rnacentral:rRNA from 1 species